AUUGAACGCUGGCGGCAGGCUUAACACAUGCAAGUCGAGCGAGCGGCGGACGGGUGAGUAAUGUCUGGGAAACUGCCUGAUGGAGGGGAAUCACUGCUGGAAACGGUAGCUAAUACCGCAUACCAUCAGAUGUGCCCAGAUGGGAUUAGCUCGUAGGUGGGGUAAUGGCUCACCUAGGCGACGAUCCCUAGCUGGUCUGAGAGGCUGAUGAGCCAAACGGGAACUGAGACACGGUCCAGACUCGGACGUGAGGCAGCAGUGGGGAAUAGUGCACAAUGGGCGCAAGCCUGAUGCAGCCAGGCCGCGUGUGUGAAGAAGGCCUUCGGGUGGUAAAGCAAUUUCAGCGAGGAGGCGUUACUCGCAGAAGAAGCACCGGCUAACUCCGUGCCAGCCGCCGCGGUAAUUC
rnacentral:rRNA from 1 species